AGAUGACAGAAAUGUGGAAAAUGGAUGUCAGC
rnacentral:piRNA from 1 species